GGUUAAGCGACUAAGCGUACACGGUGGAUGCCUAGGCAAUCAGAGGCGAUGAAGGACGUGCUAAUCUGCGAUAAGCGUCGGUAAGGUGAUAUGAACCGUUAUAACCGACGAUUUCCGAAUGGGGAAACCCAGUGCAAUUCGUUGCACUAUCGUUUGAUGAAUACAUAGUCAAACGAAGCGAACCGGGGGAACUGAAACAUCUCAGUACCCCGAGGAAAAGAAAUCAACCGAGAUUCCCCUAGUAGCGGCGAGCGAACGGGGAGCAGCCCAGAGUCUUAAUCAGCAUUAGCAUCAGGAGAACGGUCUGGAAAGGCCGGCAGUAAAGGGUGAUAGCCCCGUAUCCGAAGGUGUUGGUGUUGUGAACUCGACGAGUAGGGCGGGACACGUGUUAUCCUGUCUGAAUAUGGGGGGACCAUCCUCCAAGGCUAAAUACUCCUGAUUGACCGAUAGUGAACCAGUACCGUGAGGGAAAGGCGAAAAGAACCCCGGCGAGGGGAGUGAAAUAGAACCUGAAACCGUGUACGUACAAGCAGUGGGAGCCUUGAUUUAUCAGGGUGACUGCGUACCUUUUGUAUAAUGGGUCAGCGACUUAUAUUCUGUAGCAAGGUUAACCGUAUAGGGGAGCCGUAGGGAAACCGAGUCUUAACUGGGCGAAUGAGUUGCAGGGUAUAGACCCGAAACCCGGUGAUCUAGCCAUGGGCAGGUUGAAGGUUGGGUAACACUAACUGGAGGACCGAACCGACUAAUGUUGAAAAAUUAGCGGAUGACUUGUGGCUGGGGGUGAAAGGCCAAUCAAACCGGGAGAUAGCUGGUUCUCCCCGAAAGCUAUUUAGGUAGCGCCUCGUGAACUCAUCUUCGGGGGUAGAGCACUGUUUCGACUAGGGGGUCAUCCCGACUUACCAACUCGAUGCAAACUACGAAUACCGAAGAAUGUUAUCACGGGAGACACACGGCGGGUGCUAACGUUCGUCGUGAAGAGGGAAACAACCCAGACCGCCAGCUAAGGUCCCAAAGUCAUAGUUAAGUGGGAAACGAAGUGGGAAGGCUCAGACAGCCAGGAUGUUGGCUUAGAAGCAGCCAUCAUUUAAAGAAAGCGUAAUAGCUCACUGGUCGAGUCGGCCUGCGCGGAAGAUGUAACGGGGCUAAACUAUGCACCGAAGCUGCGGCAGCGAUAUGUAAAUAUUGUUGGGUAGGGGAGCGUUCUGUAAGCCUGUGAAGGUGUACUGUGAGGUAUGCUGGAGGUAUCAGAAGUGCGAAUGCUGACAUAAGUAACGAUAAUGCGGGUGAAAAACCCGCACGCCGGAAGACCAAGGGUUCCUGUCCAACGUUAAUCGGGGCAGGGUGAGUCGACCCCUAAGGCGAGGCAGAAAUGCGUAGUCGAUGGGAAACGGGUUAAUAUUCCCGUACUGGUGAUAAUUGCGAUGGGGGGACGGAGAAGGCUAGGCUAUCCGGGCGACGGUUGUCCCGGUUUAAGGAUGUAGGCAGGUGAAUUAGGCAAAUCCGGU
rnacentral:rRNA from 1 species